rnacentral:rRNA from 1 species
UACGUAGGGGGCGAGCGUUGUCCGAAGUUACUGGGCGUAAAGCGCGCGUAGGCGGGUUGGCAAGUCUGCUGUGAAAGCCCGGGGCUUAACUCCGGAGGGUCGGUGGAUACUGCCAGUCUUGAAGGUGCUAGGGAGAGAUGGAAUUACCGGUGUAGCGGUGAAAUGCGUAGAUAUCGGUAGGAACACCAGUGGCGAAGGCGGUCUCUUGGGGGCAUUCUUGACGCUGAGGCGCGAAAGCGUGGGGAGCAAACGGG